AUGGUGCCCUCCAGGCUGCUGUGGGCCCUGGUGGCCUUCACCUGCUCUGGAUCCAGUGAGGCCCAGAAAGUUAUCCAAGACCAACCAGCUAUAUCCAAACAAGAGGGGUCAAGAGUCACCCUGAGGUGUCGGUAUGAAACAAGUUGGAGUAACUACGUCCUUUAUUGGUACAAGCAGCUUCCUGAUGGAAAGAUCACAUACCUUAUUUAUCACCGUUCAUCUUCUGGUAACAGUGCAAAAAAUGGUCGCUAUUCUAUAAACUUCCAGAAAGCAGACAAAUACAAUUACCUCACCAUUUCACCCUUGCUACUGGACGACUCCGCAAUGUAUUUCUGUGCUCUCAGUGAUGCACUGUGUUUGAAGUGA